rnacentral:rRNA from 1 species
GAUGAACGCUGGCGGCGUGCCUAAUACAUGCAAGUCGAGCGAACAGACGAGGAGCUUGCUCCUCUGACGUUAGCGGCGGACGGGUGAGUAACACGUGGAUAACCUACCUAUAAGACUGGGAUAACUUCGGGAAACCGGAGCUAAUACCGGAUAAUAUAUUUAACCGCAUGGUUCAAUAGCGAAAGACGGUUUUGCUGUCACUUAUAGAUGGAUCCGCGCCGCAUUAGCUAGUUGGUAAGGUAACGGCUUACCAAGGCAACGAUGCGUAGCCGACCUGAGAGGGUGAUCGGCCACACUGGAACUGAGACACGGUCCAGACUCCUACGGGAGGCAGCAGUAGGGAAUCUUCCGCAAUGGGCGAAAGCCUGACGGAGCAACGCCGCGUGAGUGAUGAAGGUCUUCGGAUCGUAAAACUCUGUUAUUAGGGAAGAACAAAUGUGUAAGUAACUAUGCACGUCUUGACGGUACCUAAUCAGAAAGCCACGGCUAACUACGUG